CUUCUCAACCUCCAAAUCAUGGUGACCAUAAUGGCUUGACUCCUGCAGGAACUAAUUGAUUAAGGAAGACAGCACAACAGCUGUAUAGUUGGCCAUAGUGCUCAGGAGGAAAAUGCUGGAACAGGCGAGA